GGCAGAAGGGACUUGCCUUGUCUCAGAUGAGACUUUGAACUGUGGACCUCUGAGUUAAUGCUGAAAUGAGGGGCAGAGAGAUGGCUUUUUCAGGAUGGCAGCAAGGAACAUUUCAUGGAGCACACAUUGGAUUUGAGCUUGCCCUUGAGGAUCUGGACGACAGAAAAAGGUCCCACCACUCAUCAGAGUCACAGAGCAAAGCUGCAUACCUGGGUGCCAGACGCCAGCCACUCUCCACCGGCACUGCGUUGGGGGUGAGCUUCUUAACAGGUGGUGCAAACAUGAAUGCUCUCCACCUGCGGGCCCCAGCUACACCUCAGAGCAAUCUCGGAGCCUUUAUAAAUAAAAAUGUCUCAAGUCC
rnacentral:lncRNA from 1 species